AAAGGAUUCAUAUUCCUCGAAUAAAAGUUAUCUCCUUUUCUCAAGAUCAAUGGUCCCUACUUGCACCUAUCAAACUGGCCAUGCCCAUGCCCAUUCUGGGCCCAUAUGGAAGCUCUCUUUGCACCUUUUGGUUGACCUCUGAGGAGCAGCUUGGAUACCUUCUUCCCCUUAACACUGUAGAGGCUCUCUGCAACAGAACUCCCUACAUCUCACAGCACCAGCCUCCGUUCUCCUACCAAGUGUGAUUUGUGUGUCUAGCCUUCUCUAGGACUUCUGCCAGAUUGGCACAUCUGCAGAUGUUCCGUGGAGCAUCAUCACCAAAAAUGCACACGAAACUGCCACUAGAAGCAAAUGGAGGAAGCACACAGCAGGACUGGGUGUCUUUAAUUGCCAUUGCGAACGUGUGUCCAUCUGCACCACGUGAAUGAUUUGCGGCACAGCCGGGACCUGGCUCAGUUCUCUUGACACAUACAUCAACUCACAAGCACUGAAGUGGCAAGGCUGUUUGCAGAAGACAUUUAAGGCAAAAAUAGAUUGCAUCUUAAAAUCUCCUUACAGGACAUAGGUGGCACAUUGAAGAAAGCUUCAAUGCAACAAUAAUUUACAAUAACAUGGGCACAGUAAUGGAAAACAGCAAAGAACUGUGAGGAACUUUGCUGGCACUUUUUCCAGGGCCAGCAGCUGGAAAGAGGGGCCACAAAACAUCAGCAAGGAAACUGCUGUUCUAAAAGAAAGACACAAGAAGCUGUGCUUCCAGAAGAGAAAAGUAGUCACUGCCACCCCAGGAACCUGGCAUGGAGGGAUGCAGUGGUGUAAUACCACUCUCUCCUUGCACCACCCACAAGCCCAGCCCAUCCUGGGGACAGACGCAUGCUGAAAGUGGAGGUCGGGUCUGGAAGGGCAAAAGCAGAUGGCCCAGCAUAGCCCACCACUUUUCUUUGUCAACAUCAAGUAUUUCUGUGUCUGUACGAAAAACCAAGGUUCUGUCCCAGGGAAAUGACGGAGUCCCAUCAGCUACAGGAUCAUAACAAGGAGAUGUCAAUUCAGUCAUACUCGCCUGAAAGCUACAGCACCUUGAACGGUUCACCCAACCACCUCAUCUGCAUGUGGUUCUCGUGGCACGUAAAGCCCUAACUGGGUGGUCUCAGUUUCACACCGCUAUGACUUUGUUUUCUGCUGGAAGCAGUUCCCCUUAUCACCAGAGCCUCCAAACCUAGAAAAGCCAAGAAAGCAGAGAUGGAAGCAAUUCCUGAUGUGGGCUAUUUGGGGCAAAACUGGUAUCUCCCCUUAUGUCCCCCGUGAGUAAGCAUUCCACAGACAGUUUCAAAACAUUAUGUUGUAUACUGAUGUACACCAGAAAUAAUAAAACCAUCAGAAUUCCCUGUCAGUUGCUGAUUCUCUAACAAAAAUAAAUCCAACCUUGGCCCCUAAUAUAACUGAAGAUAUUUGAAGAUAAGUCAUGUCUUUGUGGAUAUGAUAAUAUGUGAGAAAAUUACUUUCUCCAUGAUAAACAGGUUACGUGAAAACUCAUUAACCUCGACAGGUUUUGAGGAGUUUUUCCCAUUUAAAUGCCUGUUGUGUUUUGACUUGCUGAGUCUUCUGAAG
rnacentral:lncRNA from 1 species